UACAGGGGGGGGCAAGCGUUGUUCGGAAUUACUGGGCGUAAAGGGGUUCGUAGGUGGCUUGCUAAGUCACACGUGAAAUCCCUCAGCUUAACUGGGGGAACUGCGUGUGAAACUGGCGAGCUUGAGGGUAGGAGAGGAAUGCGGAAUUCCAGGUGUAGCGGUGAAAUGCGUAGAUAUCUGGAGGAACACCGGUGGCGAAGGCGGCAUUCUGGACUACUUCUGACACUGAUGAACGAAAGCCAGGGGAGCAAACGGG
rnacentral:rRNA from 1 species